rnacentral:lncRNA from 1 species
CUAUUUGAAUAUAAUAAAAAUAUUCAAUAAAAUAUUUUAUUUUCUUAUAAAAUAAUAUUUAUAGAGUUACCGGUAAAUAAUUUUUGUAGCGUAAAAUCUAAAUAAAUUCAUACAUAUUGUAAUACAGAUAACCAAAGUAUAAAAUUUAAUUUACAGUGACACGUGGGCCCACGAACGACCAAAAGUAUCAAAAGCGGUAAACCUACAAUUUUUAAGGAUGCAAGUCCAACUGUAGCCCUCAACAAAGUGAGCUAUCUACCGACUAUCCUGAGCCUGAAAUGGGUGGAAAGGAAGGUGGUGAGAUUAUAUAAUCUCAGUCAGUAAACAAAUACCAUCUAAAAUAUCUAAAGCUGAGUAAAUGGAGAUAGAUUAAAAUAAAUCAUAAUAUUGUAAUUCAUCACCUUUCAACUCAUUUCAACCAAAUAAAAUCAAUUCAUAUAAAUCGAGUAAUCAACAUGGCUUAUAAAUUUCUUAAAUGCUUUGACUUGUGCCAAAAUCAUUCUCAUACCCUGUUGUCAGGGAUACCUUAGCCUGGGGCUAUCCCAACCGAGUUCGCCAAGGUUGUCAAAAAAAUCAUGUACACAUAAAUCAUGUUUUUAUUUUGAAAACAUAGCCGUUCCUUGGCGUUGGCUAAGUUCACCUUCAUGUGGUGGUUUGGCGUGAAGUGAACUCUAAAGUUGUACCCCAGGAGUUACCCUACAUGCCUCUCCAACCGAGGUAAGAAUAUAACGAGGUUACCGUGCCCCUCUAAUAGGCUGGUCCACGGAACCCGCCCACUGCAGCAAGCUAAACCCACCAAUUCAAUAAAAUCUCAACUGCAUGACAUGGCAAUUAUAUCACAAUCUAGCCUCUCAAGGCUAAAUACACAGUUCAUAUAUUUCAACACAAAUACCAAUUCAGCCAUUCAUGCACAUAUUGUCAUAAGCCAUUCAAUUCAAACCAUGAAUUUACAACACAUGAAAACAGUCUCCAAUUACUCUAUUUUCAAACCAUCAUUCAAUUUCAAGACAAUUUUAUAAAAUUAUUUCAUUAAAUCACAUUUUAAUUACAAAAUACAAAGAUUUACCAUUUAACUCAUUUUCCAUAAAAUCGCAAAAUCGGAUAAAAACCACUUUAGAUAAUUAAGAUGAUAGUAAGGUUACUCAAUAUUUCAGGAGUCGAAUUCUGAGUACUUCGAUUCUUGAUCCUUGGGUACUAUCUCUUUACUUUUGCCAGAAAGCUCACCACCUAGACAUAAUGCACAAUAAGCCAUUUACUGCAUUUGUGCUAAAUUGUUAUAAAACCAAUUCAAGCUCUAUACUAAUGCAUGAAAUGGGAUGUAAAUUGUUUGGAUUAUCAUCUAAACAUGGUGUUCUACACAAAUUCAAUUAUGUACCUAAAUAAAACGGUAUUGGCCUAAUUCGAUCUAUCACUCGAUUUAAUUGGCCAAUAUCUCCAAUUUAACUCCCAUUAACUCCAUUUUUCUUCCAAUUCUCCAAACCAUCAAACACAAAUUAAAUAACUUAAAAUAUGGCAAAACCAUCCUCACAUUUUCUCUUGGAAAAUUCGGCCAUGGUGGGUGCAUCAAUACUAUGAUUUUUCCUACUUGAUUUUCUCACUGUAAUUUAUCAUUUCCUAACCAAUUCACUUGAAAUAAAAUCAAAUCCACCAUCCACACUCUACAUGGAAGAUUCGGCCAAUGAUGGGUUAUGGAAGAACAUGAAUUUUUCUUGUUUGUUUUUCAUGCUACACAUCACUAACUAACUAAAAACACUAAAAUACAUUGAAAUCUAACCAGAUCCGAGUUCAAAACUCCUCCCCCCAUGUCCGGCCAGCAAGAGUAUCCUCAUGCAAACUUGAUUCUCAACCAUGGAAAAUGAAAAAGAAUGCAUAGGAAAGGGAAAUCACAAGCUAGAAUUGAAAAAUCUUACCUUUUGUCACUUUAUUCUUUGAAAUUUUGUGAAUUUCUCUUGAAUUUCUUAGCUAGGUUUUUGUUCUUCUUCUUGUCUUCCCUU